UCCAGAGGGUGCGAUCGUUAAUCGGAUUUACUGGGCGUAAAGCGUGCGUAGGUGGUUUGUUAAGUCAGGUGUGAAAUCCCCGGGCUCAACCUGGGAACUGCGCUUGAAACUGGCAAGCUAGAGUGUGGUAGAGGGUAGUGGAAUUCCCGGUGUAGCGGUGAAAUGCGUAGAUAUCGGGAAGAACACCAGUGGCGAAGGCGGCUACCUGGACCAACACUGACACUGAGGCACGAAAGCGUGGGGAGAAAACAGG
rnacentral:rRNA from 1 species